rnacentral:rRNA from 1 species
UACGUAGGGUGCAAGCGUUAAUCGGAAUUACUGGGCGUAAAGCGUGCGCAGGCGGUUGUGCAAGACAGAUGUGAAAUCCCCGGGCUUAACCUGGGAACUGCAUUUGUGACUGCACGGCUAGAGUGUGUCAGAGGGGGGUAGAAUUCCACGUGUAGCAGUGAAAUGCGUAGAUAUCUGGAGGAACACCGGUGGCGAAGGCGGCAUCCUGGACCGGCAUUGACGCUGAGGCGCGAAAGCUAGGGGAGCAAACGGG